CGUUUCUUUGCUGGCGACCGGCGCACGGUGAGUAACACGUAUCCAACCUGCCCUUUACUCGGGGAUAGCCUUUCGAAAGAAAGAUUAAUACCCGAUAGCAUAAUGAUUCCGCAUGGUUUCAUUAUUAAAGGAUCCGUAAAGGAUGGGGAUGCGUUCCAUUAGGUUGUUGGUGAGGUAACGGCUCACCAAGCCUUCGAUGGAUAGGGGUUCUGAGAGGAAGGUCCCCCACAUUGGAACUGAGACACGGUCCAA
rnacentral:rRNA from 1 species